GCCCCGGUCUUUGGGGAGUAGCCUUCCUUCCGUCGCGAAGGAGAACGCGUCAACAUCCUCGGCUCUACUGCCGUGGCGCGUUCGACCGGUCCGGUUUGGCGAGACCAUUGAUGCGCCAUGCCGUUCCUGGCCGGACGGGCGUCGCGCAUCAUGGUUCGCUGACGUCCGGCCG
rnacentral:sRNA from 2 species